CAAUUCCCUCCACGACGCCACAUCGAUCGACGACGAUAUCGGGAAGCAAUAUGGGGUUGGCCUUGUCGCGGCUGGAGGAGAUUAGGACGCAGUACCGCAUGGCAGCGGAAGACGGCGAGGCUGACAGUCCGGCACCGGCGCCAGUGUCGCCGACCGGUGCUGCUGCUGCUUCCGGCGGCGGCACUGAAAAGAAGAAGCAGGCGGACGACUCGUCGUCGUCGUCAAAGACGACAGAAUGGGUUCCUCAUAAGUUCUCUGAGAUCGUCGGUCAAAGACGACCUGGUGAGGAUAUGUUCCGAGGGAUCUACCUUCCACGAUCGGAUCAGCAGCCGAAAACAAAGAAGUACUGGGUAGAUGGGAGAAAUGCCAACUGCUUCAUGCUGUUCCCUAAAGGAUUCAGCAUCACCUGGGGUUCGGACGCAAGGUACUGGAGUUGGCGCAAGCUCACACAAGAAGAGAAAAGAGAGAUCGACCCCGAGGAGGCCAAAAUGGAGAUGGAGGUGGCGUACCUCAAGGACGUGUGCUGGCUGGAGAUCCGUGCGAAGCUGGAGAUGUCCCACCUCACUCCGGGAUUCACCUACGUCGUCGACUUUGUAGCCAAGCUCGAACAGAACGGCUACGGCUGGUCCGAGCCGGUGGACCUCCAGAUCAAUUGUCCCGGCGACGUCGACAGGAAGCCGCGGAAGGAGAGUCUAUGGAAGACGGUUGACGGGAAAAAGUGGUCGUACGUCAAUGUCGGGGAGGUGGAGGCGGCCGGGCAAAAUGGGGAGAUGGAGAUCGCCAUGCUCAGGUUAGGUGGGGACUGGAAGAGAGGACUCGUCCUCAGGUGCAUCAAGAUUACCCCAAAACCCU
rnacentral:misc_RNA from 1 species